rnacentral:rRNA from 1 species
UGGGGAAUAUUGCACAAUGGGGGGAACCCUGAUGCAGCGACGCCGCGUGGGUGAGGAAGUACUUCGGUAUGUAAAGCCCUAUCAGCAGGGAAGAAAAUGACGGUACCUGACUAAGAAGCCCCGGCUAACUACGUGCCAGCAGCCGCGGUAAUACGUAGGGGGCAAGCGUUAUCCGGAUUUACUGGGUGUAAAGGGAGCGUAGACGGCGUGCCAAGUCUGGUGUGAAAGGCCGGGGCUCAACCCCGGGACUGCAUUGGAAACUGGCAUGCUGGAGUGCCGGAGGGGCAAGCGGAAUUCCUAGUG